rnacentral:rRNA from 1 species
UACGGAGGAUGCAAGCGUUAUCCGGAAUCACUGGGCGUAAAGCGUCUGUAGGCGGUUUAAUAAGUCAACUGUUAAAUCUUGAGGCUCAACCUCAAAAUCGCAGUCGAAACUAUUAGGCUAGAGUAUAGUAGGGGUAAAGGGAAUUUCCAGUGGAGCGGUGAAAUGCGUAGAGAUUGGAAAGAACACCGAUGGCGAAGGCACUUUACUGGGCUAUUACUAACACUCAGAGACGAAAGCUAGGGUAGCAAAUGGG